UCUCUUUUUAAAUCAAAUCUCCACAAUCGAUUCAAUGAUAGAUGUUGCCUAUUCUGCUUCAGUCGAUUAAAUGAUAUUCAUUUGGUAUGUUAUCAUUUGUUUUCUUUAAUUUUGGUAAUUAAUAUUUCAAUCUGAAUUUUUUGCAGCAAGAACAAGAGGAUUUCCAAAGGAAAGAAGGGUGGGAAGAAGAAAGCAUUAGUCUUUUUAUUAUUUCUAUUUUCUGUGUUUUGUUUUCUUUAAUUUAUAGUUUCUGGGUUUUGUUUUCUUUAAUUUUGGUUUUUUUAAUAAUUUGGGGAUUCUGAUUUUUGAUAAAUGUAUGUUAAGCAGAGCUAAUCCGUUUUCGAAGAAAGAUUGGUAUGAUACCAAGGUGCUAAACUUUGCAUGAUAUUAGAACUACUUGGAAACUCAGGUUCCGUAACCGGUGUCGAUGUGGCAAGACACCGGUUAGCCGCUUGUAGAACUACUUGGAAACUCUGGUCCAGAAAUACUCACUUGGUGAUUAUUGUUGUCUCUUUAUCGCUAACGGAGCUGAAUUUUCUCUCGUCCCGAUCCGUGUCGAUUCUGACAUUGAAUCUUGUAAGAGUUCCUGCUCUUUAUUUUUGAAAUAUCUAAAUUGAAGGUUGGGGAAAGAGCUUUGUAAACAUGUGGGUUCCAAAAGAAUAUGUUAUAUAAUCCGAGUCCACUGAUGCAUAGCAGCCAUAACAGCACAACUGGAGCAAAAAGGAAACCAACUCGAUGUGUGCCAUAGUGUUGCAGUGCAAAUAAGCACACUAAUAUGAUGCAGGUAAUCGGGAUCACAACAUCUGUAAAUAAAAAUAGUUUUAAAAUAUGCACUUACACUUUUAAUGAUGUGACUACUAUUUAAAUGUAAUCAGCUUAUAGUGUUUGGAUAAACGAAUUCUGCUUCUUAUAUCUAGAGUAUUUUGUCAACUAUUAAUUAAGUGUGCUUAUUUCUGACAUUGAAUCUUGUAAGUGUUCCAGCUCUUUAUUUUUGAAAUAUUUAAAUUGUAUUGUUAUCCCUUGAAUGAGUUACCUACUUGACCCAUUUCUUUUGCAGGAAAGCUUUUGAGUUUUUUAUUUAUUAAUUAUAUUAUUUGUUCAUAAAAGUAGAACUUUAGUUUGAUGGUUGUGUUAUAGAUUUUUCCCCAAGCCUAAAUUACUAGCCAUGCAUUCAGAUUAUUAUGGUAUUUCAAAUUGGUUGAUCUAUAUGUUGCAUCAUAUGUACUAUGCAGAUAGCUAUUGAAAAUGGUCACUUAAUCUAUUAAUUUUACUAUAUCUUUGGGAUCCAUUUUGAUCUUUUAUUUUAAAUUGGUUGAUCUCUAUGUUGCAUCAACCCAUUUGACCCGUUUCAUUUUAAACUAAACAUUUUUAUUUUACAUAUGACCCGUUCAACAUAACAUAACAUGGAUACAGUAUCUUUUUCAUCUUUAGGUCUGUUGGUAUGACUCAAAUGAAUGGACAACAAGCAAGAAUCCAUUUUGUGUUCACUUAGAGGAUAACAAGUGUUAAUGAGAGCAUAGAGCAAUAAGCGCACGACGUUCUUAAACUUAUUGAUCUUGCGGGUAGUGAACGUCUUUAAGCCAUCAACAAAAGUUUUUCAUCGUUAAGCGAUGUUAUAUUCACUUUAGCAAAAAUGGAAGAACAUGUACCUUUGAGGAACUCAAAACUUACAUAUCUUCUUCAUGUACUCAUCUAAUAUCUAUGAAUUAUGAUUAUAAAUUUGUCUUUAUGCUAUCUAUUUGAAAGCUUCUAAUGAUAUUGCAUUUGGUUUUGAAACUGACAAGCCUUGCUUAGGUGGUGAUUCCAAGAUUUUUAUGGUGGUAAAUGUUUCUCUAGCAUCUACCUCCAUUAAUGAGUCACUUUGUUCUCUUCAGUUUGCUACAAGAGUUAAUGCUUGAGAGAUUGGAGUGUCUCGAAGGCAAACUCGUGUUAAGCAAUUGGAUGCUACAUUCAGCCAUGGCUAAUGAUUUUGCAGUCAUAAAUAGCAUUUGGAAAUGUAGAUUUUUGAGAUUCCAACAGUUUGUUGUUUAUGUGUAUAGUAGAAAGAAUGAUUGAAGAACAGUAGCUACCUAAUGAUUUAUUCAGAGGA